UACGGAGGGUGCAAGCGUUAUCCGGGUUCACUGGGUUUAAAGGGUGUGUAGGCGGGUAAUUAAGUCAGUGGUGAAAUCUCCAGGCUCAACCUGGAAACUGCCAUUGAUACUAUUUAUCUUGAAUCUUGUUGAGGUAGGCGGAAUAUGUCAUGUAGCGGUGAAAUGCUUAGAUAUGACAUAGAACACCGAUUGCGAAGGCAGCUUACUAAGCAAGGAUUGACGCUGAGGCACGAAAGCGUGGGGAUCAAACAGG
rnacentral:rRNA from 1 species